AGUGAAGCAGGCAACAGCUCAAAUUUGAAAUCUGGCUUCGGCCCGAGUUGUAAUUUGCAGAGGAUGUUUCUGGCGCGGUGCCUUCCGAGUUCCCUGGAACGGGACGCCAUAGAGGGUGAGAGCCCCGUAUGGUUGGACACCAAGCCUGUGUGAAACUCCUUCGACGAGUCGAGUAGUUUGGGAAUGCUGCUCUAAAUGGGAGGUAAAUCUCUUCUAAAGCUAAAUACCGGCCAGAGACCGAUAGCGCACAAGUAGAGUGAUCGAAAGAUGAAAAGCACCUUGAAAAGGGGGUUAAAUAGUACGUGAAAUUGUUGAAAGGGAAGCACUUAUGACCAGACUUGGGCCGGGCGGCUCAUCAGGGGUUCUCCCCUGUGCACUCCGCCCGGCACAGGCCAGCAUCGGUUCUCGUGGGGGGAUAAGACCGUCAGGAACGUAGCACCCUCCGGGGUGUGUUAUAGCCUGGCGGACGAUACCCCCGUGGGGACCGAGGUCCGCGCUCCGCAAGGAUGCUGGCGUAAUGGUCAUCAGUGACCCGUCUUGAAACACGGACCAAGGAGUCGUCCAUUAGAGCGAGCGUUUGGGUGUAAAACCCGCACGCGUAAUGAAAGUGAACGCAGGUGAGAGCUUCGGCGCAUCAUCGACCGAUCCUGAUGUUCUCGGAAGGAUUUGAGUAAGAGUUUUAACGGACGGACCCGAAAGACAGUGAACUAUGCUUGUAUAGGGUGAAGCCAGAGGAAACUCUGGUGGAGGCUCGCAGCGGUUCUGACGUGCAAAUCGAUCGUCAAA
rnacentral:rRNA from 1 species